rnacentral:rRNA from 1 species
CCCAGACUCCUACGGGGGGCAGCAGUGGGGAAUAUUGCACAAUGGGGGGAACCCUGAUGCAGCGACGCCGCGUGAAGGAAGAAGUAUCUCGGUAUGUAAACUUCUAUCAGCAGGGAAGAAAGAAGACGGUACCUGAUUAAGAAGCCCCGGCUAACUACGUGCCAGCAGCCGCGGUAAUACGUAGGGGGCAAGCGUUAUCCGGAUUUACUGGGUGUAAAGGGAGCGUAGACGGCAGCGCAAGUCUGAAGUGAAAUGCCGGGGCUUAACCCCGGAACUGCUUUGGAAACUGUGCAGCUAGAGUGCAGGAGAGGUAAGUGGAAUUCCUAGUGUAGCGGUGAAAUGCGUAGAUAUCAGGAGGAACACCGGUGGCGAAGGCGGCUUACUGGACCAUAACUGACGUUGAGGCUCGAAAGCGUGGGGAGCGAACAGGAUUAGAUACCCCUGUA